UUCUUUCUUCUCUCUCCUGCUCAGCUUGAUUGCUUUUCAUCACUCUGUCUUCCAAGUCAUUCAUUGGUUCCGUG